GUAAAAGAAUAGUGAUUAAGAUUGUGCUCUGUAAAAGAAUAGUAAUUAAGUUUGUGCUUUCAGUGUUUAGUUGACUCAUAUUACCCAUCCUAGACAUAAAUCCAUCAGUGAACACUAAUAAGAA